GAUAUUUUUUGUAUUUUUGGCUUGCAUUACAUGUUACUUUAAGUAAGGAAUAUUUCAUUUUAACAUAAAAACUGCAUAUUUUCAACUUAUUACUUUGAUCUUGAUAAUUUUCUAAUCUCCCACAUUAAUGUGAAUUUAUUAUCUAGAAACUACGGUGGAGAACUUGAACUGAAGUUGGUCAUAUUUCUAUCAAUUACCUGCUUUCGUUCCCAACCAUCGAAAGUAAGCAAUUUUAAGAAUUUUCAUGCACUGUAUUAUAGUAUACGGAACACACAAGGUAACUCACUAACUAGUGCCAACAGUGUUAGGAAAGUUAGAAAAAAGAGUUGGUUCUACUUAAACCAAGCGAUAGCAAGAAGGUGAAAACAUAAAAGGGUGCCACAUUCCAUUACUCUAUUGAGUUAUAAAUUGAUCCCAUUACGGAAACGUUUUAAAUUCCUUUGCCGAGUACCCCGAAAUUCCAGGGCAAAUCUAUCACUUCCCAAUCGACCUUAAGAUCGAAGCCCCGAUUGAAAGCGGUCCUUGCGUACGCACCAAGGCUAUGGCGCUUGUUCCAAGGUGUCCGGAGCGCUGUUCUUCCCGUUCUUGACAUUGAUUUUUACUAUUUUUCAACGUCUUGAAACAUCCAUCCACUUCAUCCAGGCGACCAACGACUUGGCUCUUGAGCAGGAAGCCAAUGCAGCAAACUUGACGAUCGAACAGCACCGCAUGGUUGAUCAAAGGAAUUUAUGUCUUCCGAACAUUGGUGCGAAUGUCGAAUGGCAGGGUAAUAAUAAUGGUACAAUGUGAAGGUGAAGGUGAGAAUGUAGGUAGAGAAAAUAAAAAAUGAAAUGAAAAAACUCGCAUAUUUUUCCUCAUCAUGGCACGUUUCUUGGCUCGUUUCUUCACGAAUACCAACCGUACGGACGGCUCCAACAUGGCAUGGCUCUAUCCUCUAUCAAGCCGAACUGAAACAUUUCCCCCAUUGGCAUUCUCAUUCGAAGGCUCACUGUCUCGUCCCAUCUUUAAUUCAAUCGCUAGUCAGGUGUGAAAAUUGGUCGGAAACCUUGUAAAUUUUACUUCAGAACCAAACCCUGCAUCAUUUCCGCCACCAAUGCGACCCGAGUGUCUAUUUUAUAGCCGCUUCUGGUUGGCCUAUCGAACGAAAACGGGAAGGGAGUAAUGUCUGUGGGCGGGAAGCGGAGGGUGAGGAGGAAGAGAUGGCAAUGUAGAGAGAGGAAGCACGGGUCUCAACCACUGAAGACUCACUUUUCACUGUGCGAAAUACAUUUCAUCCAGGGAGGCUGUGGGUUUAGUCUGAGAUUGAAUUUAUUUCACGCUUUCCUCAUUUCCAAUUUUCCUACAAACCUUGUCAUUCGGCAGUGCGUUGACAGUCGUCUGCCUUGUUGAAAAGAAGAAUGGUCGGUGACGAAAAAGUAGACUAUACGGGAAAUGAAAUGAAAAAACCGAACGCUGCCAACUGAUAAACGAACAAAUGGCGUACAAGCGCUGUGCGACGAACCGCAAUAAAGGAACGAAAAACGAACUGUCAUAAAUUCAGCACGCAGUUGUGAUUAUUCCAACAGGUUCCCACUCUGACAAGUACUGCUUUGAUAUUGAUCAUUUGUGGUGCUAAAACCCCGUAAUGUUCUUCCCCGCACGAGACGAACCGGUUCAUGGAAAUAGUACGAACAGGGUGAUGAUACCGGGACAAAAAAGAACAUCGUCCUACAGUAACACUAUACAGCAUCAUGUUAGCUUCGUUUGUUGGUUCCGGAAAAAGAUUCAACAUUUUCCGGUCGAAGGAGUUUUUCCGUGCUUGCUGGGCGGUAGUGAUUCGAUCAGAAUCAUCGUUCUCGUGUCUUUCGCUUACGCAUGGGAACACUUCAGUGCGUUGAAGCACAUUACAGCGCUGAUAGACGAAAGAUGUGUGGCAGCAAAAUACGGGUGCGGUCUGGGGUGCAGAGAAGCGGCGGCACCAAAGAGACGGAAAGCCAAGAGUGCGUGAGAAGACUAGAGUAACGAGCGGACGCAAAUGAUUCGAUGAACGAAGAACCCAUUUUGAGCCAGGGAGGAGGGUCUUACCACCGCUGCAAAAAAAAACCCGUCCUACUCCGGAGCAACCCACAGUCCUACAUAGUCCUUGGGAUCGAACUUGUCGUCGUACUGCUCGUCAAAAGGAAGGGAUAAAUUUAGCUCAUUAACUCAA